rnacentral:rRNA from 1 species
GUCUAUGGCCAUGCUACCCUAAACAAGCCUGAUCCUGUCUGAUCUCGGAAGCUAAGCAGGGUUGGGCCUGGUUAGUACUUGGAUAGGAGACCACCUAGGAAUAUUAGGUGCUGUAGGUG